rnacentral:rRNA from 1 species
UACGUAGGGUGCAAGCGUUAUUCGGAAUUACUGGGCGUAAAGCGUGCGCAGGCGGUCUGUUAAGACAGAUGUGAAAUCCCCGGGCUUAACCUGGGAACUGCAUUUGAGACUGGCGGACUCGAGUAUGGCAGAGGGGGGUGGAAUUCCACGUGUAGCAGUGAAAUGCGUAGAGAUGUGGAGGAACACCAGUGGCGAAGGCGACUCUUUGGCCUGUAACUGACGCUGAGGCGCGAAAGCGUGGGGAGCAAACAGG